rnacentral:rRNA from 1 species
AUACAUAGGGGGCAAGCGUUAUCCGGAAUUACUGGGCGUAAAGCGUGUGUAGGCGGCCCAUUAAGUCUGGCGUGAAAUCCCACAGCUUAACUGUGGAGGGUCGUUGGAAACUGAUGGGCUUGAGUACGGUAGAGGUAAGUGGAAUUCCAAGUGGAGCGGUGGAAUGCGUAGAUAUUUGGAGGAACACCAGUGGCGAAGGCGGCUUACUGGGCCGGAACUGACGCUGAGACACGAAAGCGUGGGGAGCAAACAGGAUUAGAUACCCUGGUAGUCCACGCCGUAAACGAUGAGCACUAAGUGUCGGAUGCAAAUUCGGCGCUGCAGUUAACACAUUAAGUGCUCCGCCUGGGGAGUACGGUCGCAAGACUGAA